rnacentral:rRNA from 1 species
UCAAGAAGCAGCAGGCGCGCAAAUUACCCACUCCCGGCACGGGGAGGUAGUGACGAAAAAUAACGAUACGGGACUCAUCCGAGGCCCCGUAAUCGGAAUGAGAACACUUUAAACCCUUUAACGAGUAUCCAUUGGAGGGCAAGUCUGGUGCCAGCAGCCGCGGUAAUUCCAGCUCCAAUAGCGUAUAUUAAAGUUGUUGCGGUUAAAAAGCUCGUAGUCGGAUGUGUGUCCCACGCUGUCGGUUCACCGUUCGUCGGUGUUUAACUGGCAUGCCCGUGUGGACGUCCUGCCGGUGGAUGCGGUCGGCCGUGGGCCUCUGGUCUGCGCGUCGGCGGUCCGAUGCAAUCCUACCGCGGUGCUCUUCACCGAGUGUCGAGGUGGGCCGGCACGUUUACUUUGAACAAAUUAGAGUGCUCAAAGCAGGUAGUGGUUCGCCUGAAUAUUGUGUGCAUGGAAUAAUGGAAUAGGACCUCGGUUCUAUUUUGUUGGUUUUCGGAACCUGAGGUAAUGAUUAAUAGGGACAGACGGGGGCAUUCGUAUUGCGACGUUAGAGGUGAAAUUCUUGGAUCGUCGCAAGACGAACAUAAGCGAAAGCAUUUGCCAUGAGUGUUUUCAUUGAUCAAGAACGAAAGUUAGAGGUUCGAAGGCGAUCAGAUACCGCCCUAGUUCUAACCAUAAACGAUGCCAGCUAGCGAUCCGCCGAAGUUCCUCCGAUGACUCGGCGGGCAGCUUCCGGGAAACCAAAGCUUUUGGGUUCCGGGGGAAGUAUGGUUGCAAAGCUGAAACUUAAAGGAAUUGACGGAAGGGCACCACCAGGAGUGGAGCCUGCGGCUUAAUUUGACUCAACACGGGAAACCUCACCAGGCCCGGACACCGGAAGGAUUGACAGAUUGAGAGCUCUUUCUUGAUUCGGUGGGUGGUGGUGCAUGGCCGUUCUUAGUUGGUGGAGCGAUUGUCUGG